rnacentral:rRNA from 1 species
GACAGAGGUGCCGAGCGUUAGGCGGAAUCACUGGGCUUAAAGCGUGUGUAGGCGGACUCGUAAGUGCUUUGUGAAAUCCCAUGGCUCACCCAUGGAACUGCUUGGCAUACUGCGAGCCUUGAGCCACUUAGGGGCAACCGGAACAAAACGGUGGAGCGGUGAAAUGCGUAGAUAUCGUUUGGAACGCCAAUGGUGAAAACAGGUUGCUGGG